rnacentral:rRNA from 1 species
AGAGUUUGAUCCUGGCUCAGAACGAACGCUGGCGGCGUGGAUAAGACAUGCAAGUCGAACGGGUUUAGUUCGGUAGCAAUACUGGAUUGAGCCAGUGGCGAACGGGUGCGUAACACGUGAGUCAUCUGCCUGAAAGUGGGGGAUAGCUCGCCGAAAGGCGAAUUAAUACCGCAUGUGCCCCGAAGCAAUUCGGGGUAAAGCCGGGGUACCUGGCGCUUUUAGAGGAACUCGCGGCCUAUCAGCUUGUUGGUAAGGUAACGGCUUACCAAGGCUUCGACGGGUAGCUGGUCUGAGAGGACGACCAGCCACACUGGAACUGAGACACGGUCCAGACACCUACGGGUGGCAGCAGUCGAGAAUUUUUCUCAAUGGGGGAAACCCUGAAGGAGCGACGCCGCGUGGAGGAUGAAUGCUUUCGGGUUGUAAACUCCUGUCAUUUGGGAACAAAGCCUUACGUUAACUGCGUGGAGGUUUGAUAGUACCAGAAGAGGAAGAGACGGCUAACUCUGUGCCAGCAGCCGCGGUAAUACAGAGGUCUCAAGCGUUGUUCGGAUUCAUUGGGCGUAAAGGGCGCGUAGGCUGCGGGGCAAGUCGGGUGUGAAAUCUCAGAGCUCAACUCUGAAACUGCACUCGAUACUCUUUGCUUGAGGACUGGAGAGGAGAUUGGAAUUCACGGUGUAGCAGUGAAAUGCGUAGAUAUCGUGAGGAAGACCAGUGGCGAAGGCGGAUCUCUGGACAGUUCCUNNNGCUGAGGCGCGAAAGCUAGGGGAGCAAACAGGAUUAGAUACCCUAGUAGUCC